rnacentral:misc_RNA from 1 species
AGAAGCAUAAAUUAAAACUGCAGCCACUGAAAUAUAAAAGAAUUAUACAUUUGUUGUCACUUGAAAAUCAAGAAUGAAUUGGGCAUAUGGUGCCAAAUCAAGUAUCAGAAAAGAAAAUAUAGCCAAGCAACAACAGGAAUAAGUUAGAACUGCAAGAAUGAGAACAAGCAGGCAUGGACCUAGAUUUACACCAGUAGAAACAAUUAGCCAGAAAAA